rnacentral:rRNA from 1 species
AGAGUAUGCCUACGGGAAGCAGCAGUAGGGAAUUUUCGUCAAUGGGCGCAAGCCUGAACGAGCAAUGCCGCGUGAACGAGGAAGGUCUUCGGAUCGUAAAGUUCUGUUGAAGGGGAAAAAGAGCGGAGAGAGGAAAUGCUUUCUGAUUGAUAUUACCCUUCGAGGAAGUCACGGCUAACUACGUGCC